rnacentral:other from 1 species
CGGUAGCUGCGGUGCACGACCGGUCAUAUUAAUCCCUGGGGCCAACAGUGAUCUCGACGGGAGCUGUCCCUGCCGGACCCCUGGGUCCGGUACACGGCGCCCACCUGCUGACGCAGGCCACAGAGGAUCACCUGACCGUCGGCUCAUGUGGCGCCGUC